ACGUACUACAAUGGCGGUAAACAGAGGGAAGCAAGAACCGCGAGGUGGAGCAAAUCCCUAAAAGCCGUCCCAGUUCGGAUUGCAGGCUGAAACCCGCCUGUAUGAAGUUGGAAUCGCUAGUAAUCGCGGAUCAGCAUGCCGCGGUGAAUACGUUCCCGGGCCUUGUACACACCGCCCGUCACACCAUGAGAGUCGGGAACACCCGAAGUCCGUAGUCUAACCGAAAGGGGGCGCGGCCGAAGGUGGGUUCGAUAAUUGGGGUGAAGUCGUAACAAGGUAGC
rnacentral:rRNA from 1 species